rnacentral:lncRNA from 1 species
ACUUCCUGCAGACCUACCUGAGUGGUAAGUCGAUAGACAAGACAAGUUAGCUGAGUUUAAGUGAAGUAACUGGUUUCUCCAUUGAUUCAUAUUUCAUUUAGAUGGAAUGCCAAGGAAACAGAAUUGUGAGAGAGGAGUAUGAAAGAAGUUGUUGAAAGGCACGGCAUCUUGUCUUUGAGAUGCUGCAGUGCUCUGUAUCCUAGGAAGCUAGGCCUGAGUGUAGUCUGUCACUGCAAAAUAUAGCAUACAAGGCUCAGAGCUCCAUAGCCAUCCCUAGGACAUGUGGCAACACCAAGACCUUUGGUGCUCAAGUCCCUUUCAUACAGUGACACAGUACUUUUAUUAUAACAUAUGCAUAUCCUUCAGUAUGCUCUAAGUCAUCUCUAUAUCACUUCUGUAAUACAAAUGGUAUGUUGAUAUUUGCUAUACGAUUUAAAGAACCAAGUAAAAGGAAUCUGUUUUUGCUUGAUGCUGACACAACUCUCUAACACACACACACACACACACACACACACCACCCUUCAUCUAAAGUGUUUACAUGUGCAGAUGCAGGGGAAUGGGAGCAGGGUAUGACUGAUCACACAGGGGAGCAGCAAGCAUCAUCUUCCCCCAGGACUCAUGCUAGCUCAGCAGCGUCUCACUGAGACUCAUGACUUGGCAGGAAGAGGGUUCUGGGAAGAUUUUGGAUACCUCCUCAGAAGCAAUGAGGCCAGGGAGUAAAGCAAAAGAGUGUGUGCUACAGAGCCUGGCUGAGCUGGAUCUCAGAAACAGGAACAAAAUCAGCUUUGAGGUUGUCAGUGAUAUCACAACAGAUGUGGACCACCAAUGCUAACUCAAUACAGAUGAGAAACAGAUGAGUGUAAUAAUUGUUUUUCUUUUAAGUCUCAUGAAGCAGUUUAGGCAGAACAAGCUCUAAAACUUCUCUACAUUUCUGAAACAAUACACCAUGUAUCAAGCAGUGGAGAACUACAAUUGAAGUUAUCUUUCCCACAAUGCCAGGCUUGAUUUAAAAAAGACAUUUAAAUUUGUUCUUACAUGUAAUGGGGGUCCCAUAAAGGUCGCUUUGUGAGGUCAGACAAGAGAUGAUAAGCUAUGUGGGCUGGACUGCCCACAAGCUUUUCAACCUUAACAGAUAUGGCAUCUUGCUCCUCCAGGGUAUAUAUUUUUAUCUAAAAGAUAGGAAGAAAAAUUAGAAGAGAAAAAAAUAUUGUUUACUUUAAAGACACAACACAAACACACACACACACACACACACACACACACACACACACACAUUUAUGCACACACAUGAAUGGGCAGUCAUACAUCCUUGCCUGUACCAAGUAAGGCAUCUAUGUGGUCAACAACAAUCUCACUUCAAUCUUGGAUGCUAGUUCUGUGACAUCCAAAUAAUACAUGGGCUAGUUAAUUUGCAUCAUGUUUUGUUGUUGUUAAUGAAAAAUAAAGAACAAAAGCUU